rnacentral:rRNA from 1 species
CGGAGCGACACCGCGUGUGGAUGAAGUCUUUCGGGAUAGUAAACCUACUGGUACGGAGGGGAAAGACAAAAAAGACCGGUACCCUCCAAGAAAGCCCCGGCUAACUACGUGC